UACGGGGGGGGCAAGCGUUGUUCGGAAUUACUGGGCGUAAAGGGCUCGUAGGCGGCCAACUAAGUCAGACGUGAAAUCCCUCGGCUUAACCGGGGAACUGCAUCUGAUACUGGAUGGCUUGAGUUCGGGAGAGGGAUGUGGAAUUCCAGGUGUAGCGGUGAAAUGCGUAGAUAUCUGGAGGAACACCGGUGGCGAAGGCGGGUCUCUGGGCCGAUACUGACGCUGAGGAGCGAAAGCGUGGGGAGCGAACAGG
rnacentral:rRNA from 1 species